AACUGGUAUAAUAAUUUCGCAUUUAUUUUAAAUUUCAAGUCAACAAUUUUAAUAGUAUAAACAUUGAUUAAUACUCUGAAAUUGAGGACAUUUGUCAAAAGAUAUUGCUUUGUAAUUUUAUCUGCAGAUCAAACUGAAAAGUGGCCGAUUUUUUAGGUACAUUUAACCUACGAAAAUGGAUAGUUUACAUGUCAUCAUUUUCUGUUCAUUAAGUAACAUUCACUGAUCUAAUUCUAUUUAAAUUUUCAUGCUAGGUGAGUUUUGAACCCAGGAUUAUAUAUGUGAAGUUUAGUUUUAACCAGUUGCCUAACAUUAAAGAUUUUUCUUAAAUAGUCCCAAAAGUGGCCGGAAUUACGUACAUGACCAGUAAAUAUAAUAUAUUAGCACUAUUUUUUUUUAAAGAUAUUCAUUUUUAUUUCGCAUUUGUUAUCAAAAUAUUGACGAAGCAAAAGCCCUUUAUACAUGCUUUACGUUACUGUAACCAGUGUUUUUGCCCUCCAGUCAAUGCGCAUGCGCGGAAAUAUCGAAAUGUAAACAAUAACAAUCAACACUUGACAAGGAUUAGUCGAAGGAUUUGUAACGCUUUAAGUCGCGAAGCUGUGUUAGAAUUAGAUGAACACCAUCAAACCACGCGGAAGUUAAUAUGCGGCAAGUUAAUUAUCAAAACCACAGUGACAGAGACGGACCCAGCUUCAUUCUGUGAUGUUUUCGGAAAGCUAUUUCAACUAACUAUGCAAACAUACCAUUUAAUAUGUAUUUUGGCAUAAUCAAAACAAAGUGUAUGUAUUGAUA